rnacentral:lncRNA from 1 species
AAAAGGAGGAAAUAAUUGUUCAAGGAAACAAUCAAUAAUAAGUCCAUAAACACAAAAUUAAUCAUACAAUAAACCGCACAAUGCAGUAUAGACAACACUACAUUCAUCUUUUGAGACUUGGAUGAAUUCAUUGUUUGCAACACUGGAUUGUGUUUGGAUACGUGGAUACGAGAAAUCUAAGAAUUUCAAGUUUUUGACUUAAAUCCGUAUAAAUAGACCAAUUUCUUUUAAAUUAAAAAUAAAAUUCACUCUUGAGUUUUAAGAGCAGAAUAAAAGAAUUUUAAAUACAUCCACCAUUUCGUCCAUCUCAACUUUGCCUCUAAUACUUCACUCUCAUUUCUCUAUUCAAAGUAGAUGUUAAUUGAAAUUCUGAAAUAUUUUAAAAUAUAUAUUCAAAUGGAGGAUUUAAAAUCCAUAAAUAUUUGAAAUCCUUAGACUAUGUUUGGAUCCCGAAUUUGGUGAGAAGAAAUAAAAUAAAAAUAUUAAAUUAUCUAAUGAUUCUGACAAUUAGAUUGUCUACCUAACUUUUUUUUUUUACCUCAGAAUCCAAACAAAUUUAAAAUCCACUUAUUCAAACGUAGAUAUUGCCAGAAAUGGGAAGCAUUGCCCUAAAAUGUAGAAAUGGGACCUCCAUUACAUUACAUAAUAUUAUCACCCAAUGAGUGCGAACAAGAACCCAAUGGUCAAGUUCUUUGAACAUAAUUAAUAACAACAUGAUAACUAAGGUUAAGCUCUUACGGAUACAUUAGUAUAUUAUUAUAGGUGGAUCAUGGAAACUCCAUAAAGAUGACACAUGGGGAAUUCUGAGGGAUUAUGGAUAUGGAGGAGGAGGAGGAGGAGGGCCCAUUGGACCACCAAAGCAGUCUUGGAACAACCAGCAGCAGCACAAGAAGCUAAGGCUGCAAAUCAAAACACACAACAAAAGUUAUAAGAUGAAUGUGGUUAAGAAUCAAACUCAAAGUUACCACAUGCAAAUAGGACGAGUAAUGAUAUACAAACAGAAAUCUUGUACGGAAAUUAACGUUAUUUGUCUUUUUAUUUUACGAUAAAAUACCCUGACUUAUAGCUUUAAGAUUGCCACUAUCGAUCGUAUCACUCUAGUAUUGAUUUAUGUAAAAAAAAAAUUAUUCGUACUCAAAACUCAAAGAUUUCUUUUUCAAACACCUGACAAGGAAAAACAGACAGAAAAAGGAGUUUGAACAAGGCCGAUCUUGAGAUUUUUGAAGCUCAAAGCAAGCUCUUAACUUGGAGCCCCUAUCCUCUAUGUGAUAAUGCUUGCCUAAUGGAAGUUCUUAUAGUGCUAAGUACAUUAAGAUGUGUUUUUUUGGGACCUAAAGGCGGUGUCUUUGCCAGCCAAUGCCAGGGCGGGGCCUGAGUUUGAACUGCUAGAAGUCUACUUACCAAGCAGACAUGGCAUUGCAGAACCCACCAAAGAGGCCUAGCCCAGGCAGAGGACCCGGGAUCGGCCCACCUGGAGGCGAGCCCCAGCCCAGCGGUCCUCCUGGUCCCAUCGAAAAGCGUAACUCUCUCACAACUCACAAGUAGUAUUAGUCUAUAGUUGCAAAUUAAAAGCCACAAGAAUAGAAUAUCUGUCGCUGUGAAGAGACCCUGGAGCUAUAUAAAGAGAGAUUUAGCUUAGUGUAGAAGCAUCCUAUUUCCCAUUCACACACUGUCUCAUUGUUUCUCAUCUGCCAUUCUUCAAACUACCUGUCAAAAAGCUAUGGAACUUAAUGUUCUAUUCUUGCAUGUCACAAGACUCACAACUCGUGAUAAGUGUUUGCAAGCGUGAGCGUGAAUCAUCUGUUUGGUCAGAAAAAUGUUGCUGUCACAUAGCUUAGGCCAUGUUUGACAAGACACUUUAAUUUAAAGGGAUUAGUAAUUCAAUUUUAAUUUUUUUAAAGUAAUAGUUUGAUGGGAUUAAAUUAGUAAAUAUCAAUCUUACGGAAUUUCUAAUCAUUCAUUUUUAAGAGAUUAACAGUCUUAACGGACUAUUAGUCCAAAGUAUAAUUUUUACACUAGAACAUGGUUAAAGUGGGUUAUACAGGACUAAUAGUCAAAUCCCACCUUCAAAAUCUAUUAUCAAACGUAACCUUAGACUGAGGUUGAAAAAUAGUAUUGUCAUAGCCGUUUUAGUUUGAGAUUUGUUUUGUUUUUUUCUAGUUUUUUUUUCACCAUUUGAUAAAUGUUUUACAGUUUUUCAAUUCUAAAUCUAAAAAUGUAAAAAUAUGAUUAUUUUUUUUUCUAAAAAAAAUUACUAGACAAAAAAAAAAGGUUUUUAAUUGAGUAAAAAAAUUGUCUAUAUUGGGUUUUUUUAUUAGAGAGGGGCAUAAGGUUAAAAGUGUAUUUAUAAAUUUUUUUGUGGGGGUUUAGAGAGCAUUUUUGACACAACGUUGUUAGCUUUAAAAAUUUUUUACAUCGUCCAGCAAAGUUUAAAGUACACAUCGUGUGUAUUAUAAAAAUAUUUUGAUCGAUUAUGAUGAAUAUUACUGUUAUGAUUGGU